CUAAAAGGUAAAUGCACAAAAUAUAAAAGCCACAUGCACUGGAUGCAGUGUGUUUAGACAGUGGAGCUGUGUAUAUUUUUUUGUAAUGAAUGCAGGGUGUGUUUGUGUAGUUUGUAUAGUUAAUGCAGUGACUGUGUAGUGUGUAUAUAAUGAAUGCAGAGUGUGUGUUUGUGUAGUGUGUGGUGUAUAAAGGGAAUGCAGUGUGUUUGUGUGUAGUGUGUGUAAAGUGAAUGCAGUGUUUAGUGUGUAUAGCGAACGCAGUGUGUGUAUAGUGAAUGCAGUGCAUGUAGUGUGCGUAUAGUGAAUGCAGUGUGUCUGUAUAGUGUGUGUAUAUAAUGAAUACAGUGUGUGUGUGUGUGUGUGUGUGUGUGUAUAUAAUGUAGUGUUUGCAGUGUGUGUGUAUACAAUGCAGUGUUUGUAAUGUGUGUGUGUAUAUAAUGCAGUGUUUGUAGUGUGUGUGUGUAUAUAAUGCAGUGUGUGUGUAUAAUGCAGUGUGUGUAGUGUGUGCAGUAAACACACACUGCAUUAUAUAUACACACACACACACUAAAU